rnacentral:rRNA from 1 species
ACAAAGAUCUGUCCCACCAAACCAUACCACCUGCAGUUCAGACAAGGUAAUCGAACUGAAAUUAAGCGGGUCUGGGCCUGGCCAGUACUUUGAUGACAGACCAACUAGGAAAGCUGGGUUGCUGUUUGUU